AGUUUUCAGAGUAUAGCACCAGAAAUAAUUGCAACAAACCAAACAACAACUCAUGGCAGUGAAAAAAUUACAAUCAUCGGCAAACAUCUCAGAUAUAGAAUCCUGUCUCAGCUCCUUUAAUUCUCACUCGGCUCCCAAAUGUGUCGGUCUCCACGAUGAGCUUGGCUGGAGAGGAAAAAGAGGAUGGCAAAAGAAGUCUGUGAAUUUUACAAGAUGGACAGCACACCGUGUUGCAAGAGGAAAAGCAGUCUUCCAGAAUGAGCACUUUCUAAGGCAGCAAGAAUCACACAACAAAGAGCGUCCCUGCGGUAGCAUUCUGCAGUCAGGGUGUUCUGUGAGAUCAAGAGUCAUCCAUAUUUACAGCAACUGAAGACGCUGCACAGAGCUUGCUGCAUCAAGGUGACAGUGCUCAGCACUCUGUAUCUUCUCUAACUGUCAUCUGAGCACCUCAUGCAUGACAGAGCGUGGAACAAAAGCCACCAUUUUCAUUGGAGAAAGUGAUUGAGUUUGAUCCCCUAAUCAUGGAGAUACAGGAGAUAUGAGGUUUGAGGCCGCAGUUUAAAAUUAAAGUACUGUACAGCAUCUCCAAGUUGCACUCCAGCAUGACAGAAAAGCACCUCCUGCCACGUAUACUCCUUUCCACAAGGACUGUGAUGUCCUGGAUCAGGACAAGAGCCUUGGACCACAGAAUAUCCUUUUACUCCCCCCCCCACACACACACACACACUUUUUUUUUUACUUAACACGUAGUCUUAAUUUAGUGUCUCAACCCGUAUCUCAUGCCAUUGUUCAUGUAUUUUGUUGUUAGCAUAUGUAAAUCUUUUAAUGCAAGCCACUAGGAUGACUUGGUUAAAAGCAGGAGAAACAUAAUAAUAAAUGAAGUGACUUAUAUACACAAUUUUUCACAAAUUUAAGCUCAGUUGAUGGAUCGGACCAAGGGUACCUUGAAAUAUCCUAGGCAUCUCUUAAUGUCAGUGGCCUACCAGAGACUAGCUUGAGGUCCCACUCAGGCCCUCUAGGGCUCCUAAAAUUGCUAUGUCCCGUCCCCUGGCCAUAUCCCAUUUACCAUGGCAAUCAACUGUUUGGUAGCUUCCGGACUUCUGCAUGGUCCCACCCUUCAUUUUGACAGGCUGAAGUACCUCUUCCAAGGCAUUAGUAAUAAGAUCUU